AUUCUGAUGAAGAGUCCCAAAUAGAAUGAAAUGUACAUCUUGGAU
rfam:Trichobilharzia regenti genome assembly, scaffold: TRE_scaffold0001853